UUCACAAAAAACCUAGCUCCUGGUUUUUGGUGGUUUAAACCCCCUCCUGGUUUAAACCCCGAGCUGGGUUUUUCAUUUACGUUUCACAAAAGAGGUUUAAACCCCGAGGGGGUUUAAAUGCGUCAUAAAACGUCAUGAAACGUCAUAUUUUUUAGUCUGCUCUUAGAUGUGGUUUAAACCAUGGUUUAAUUUUAUGAGCAUGCGCACUUGAGGAGUUUGUGAAAAAUCGCUGAAGUGAAGAAAAUUUUUCUUGCGGACCUGCACCUGUCAAGCGGUCUUCUUGAUUAGAAAUUCAAUUACAUUGGCAUCAGACUGAUCAGAGGUACCAUGCAGUGUAGGCUCCAAGGAUUAUCUCCAUCUUCUUCACAGCCUUAAAAUACUAAGAGGUAUGAUUAUUAAUUUGAUUUACAUUGUUUUGAUUUGUUUAAAAGUAUUAUUGAAAUGAUCUGUUAAGAUAUCGAACAUGAAAUAUAAUUAGACUGAAGAAAUGAAAUGGCUUGAAUGUAGUUUUUGUUAAUCUCAGGAAGUAAAUUAAGAUUGCAGUAAUUAUGUUGGCAGAUCAAAUCUACAUGCACAUGUACAGUUUGGAAUGAUUAUAAAGAUCACAAAAUAAAAGAAUUAAAAAUAAUAUUCAACUCUUCUGCAUACAGCUACCUUUCCCCAAGACAUUGUGGGCUACGUGAUGCUAAAAAGCCAUCGAAAUCGUACAAGGAUGGGCCAUCUCGAGAUCAGUAUCGACUGUCAAAAGAAACCGUCACCAAUAUGCUGGAAGCCGAAAUGAAGAGGGACAUACAGAGGAUUGAUCAACUUCCUGUUUAUUUGCAGGUGUUGACAACUGUCCAUUUUUAUGCAGUGGGAUCAUUUUAAAAGAUGCAUGGUGAUGAGGCAGCAAUAUCGCAGUCAUCAAUGUGUCAGAAGCUAAAGCAAGAGGCAAUACAUGAAGAUUCCUACAACAAGAGAAGAAGUUGAAGCAACUCGAAGACAGUUCUAUCUAACUGUUAGAUUUCAAGGAGUGAAAGGUGCAACUGAUGGGACACAUGUCUACAUCAAGAAGGGGGGGGGGAUUGGGCCAUAUGCUUCUUAUAUACCCCUUCCAACUUCAUGUGGAGAGGAAUGCCUAUAACAAUGGCAAAAGCAUUAAGAACAUAGAAACACAGAGUUCAUUCAAAUUUAUGAAGAAUACUUUACUUCUUUAUUUGUUAAUGAAUUGAUUAUUAUAACCCUGUGAUUCCUGCAGCUUAGCUUCAGCAACCUCUCUUUAUUCAAAACGUCCAUUCGUAGUUUGUGCUCCUUCAAGCUCAUAUCGUGUCUUUCAAUCUCAUUUCAUGCUCUUUCAAUCUCAUAUCAUGUUCUUUCACUCUCAUCUUGUACUCUUUAUAAAGUCGAGACCAUGUUUCUUCCAUUGAACUUCAAUUCUAAUGGCAUGCACUUCUACCUGCUCAAACUCUUCUGAUAAGAUGAUUCUUUUUUCCUUGAGAUGGGUAAUUCAAAUUCCAUUUUGCAGAACAAAGGUUUGUGGUAUUGCUGCAGGGUUGCAUUUAAGUACAUAACAUAUAGUAACAGUACAGUUGUAAAACACAUACUAUAAAUCAUGUUGUCAAAGAUGUAUGUUGUUUAACGUACUGGUAACUCUCUACUUGAUCGGUUC
rnacentral:lncRNA from 1 species